CCUAUAAGACUGGGAUAACUUCGGGAAACCGGAGCUAAUGCCGGAUAACAUAUAGAACCGCAUGGUUCUAUAGUGAAAGAUGGUUUUGCUAUCACUUAUAGAUGGACCCGCGCCGUAUUAGCUAGUUGGUAAGGUAAUGGCUUACCAAGGCGACGAUACGUAGCCGACCUGAGAGGGUGAUCGGCCACACUGGAACUGAGACACGGUCCAGACUCCUACGGGAGGCAGCAGUAGGGAAUCUUCCGCAAUGGGCGAAAGCCUGACGGAGCAACGCCGCGUGAGUGAUGAAGGUUUUCGGAUCGUAAAACUCUGUUAUUAGGGAAGAACAAAUGCGUAAGUAACUGUGCGCAUCUUGACGGUACCUAAUCAGAAAGCCACGGCUAACUACGUGCCAGCAGCCGCGGUAAUACGUAGGUGGCAAGCGUUAUCCGGAAUUAUUGGGCGUAAAGCGCGCGUAGGCGGUUUCUUAAGUCUGAUGUGAAAGCCCACGGCUCAACCGUGGAGGGUCAUUGGAAACUGGGAAACUUGAGUGCAGAAGAGGAAAGUGGAAUUCCAUGUGUAGCGGUGAAAUGCGCAGAGAUAUGGAGGAACACCAGUGGCGAAGGCGACUUUCUGGUCUGUAACUGACGCUGAUGUGCGAAAGCGUGGGGAUCAAACAGGAUUAGAUACCCUGGUAGUCCACGCCGUAAACGAUGAGUGCUAAGUGUUAGGGGGUUUCCGCCCCUUAGUGCUGCAGCUAACGCAUUAAGCACUCCGCCUGGGGAGUACGACCGCAAGGUUGAAACUCAA
rnacentral:rRNA from 1 species